CUGUGACUGUAUUAUUUGGAAAUCAAUGCAUUCUGUUUGAAUUGUCAAAUUUGUGCACAGACUAAUUAACAUUAGCCACUCUGCAGGCUUUUUUAAGUGCAGGAUAGCCGCCGCAGAAGCUGGAGUGAUUUGUCAUCAUUGAGGCUGGGGACUACAGCAUGUGUGUGUCUGCCUGGGGAGAGAGGUUUUCUCUGUGGUGGUAGGAUUCUAGAGGUCAUCUCCCCAGUGCUCUGCAUCUUCUCAGCAAAAUAAACCCUCUUUCUGUGAGACAGCAGACGCAUUAUUGAGCAAACUUGUGCUAACCGGCAACCUCCACCACCCCACCACCACCAGUUGAGCCCCGUCCCGCACGGGGGUAGGCUCCUCGCCCCUGCCUGCUAUCUCUGGCAGGAUAUGAUGGUUCUGAGUACAACUCCCUCGGACCGCCAGACGGGGCCUACGCCAAAGAGAGACAUUACUUUUCUGUUUUACAUUCAUCAAAUAAAUGGCAUCUUA